AUGAGAAACAGGAAAAACAAGAAAGAGCAGAGAAAGAGGAGAAACAGGAAAGACAGGAGAGAGAGGAGAAACAGGAGAGGGGAGAAAGAGGAAAAACAAGAAAGAGAGGAGAAAGGAGAAACAGGAAAGAGAGGAGAAACAGGAAAAACAAGACAGGAGAAAGAGGAGAAACAGGGAAAAAUGGGAGAGAGGAGAAACAGGAAAAACAAGAAAGAGAGGAGAAAGAGGAUAAACAGGGAAAAAAGGGGAGAGAGGAGAAACAGGAAACACAAGAAAGAGAAGAGAAACAGGAAAAACAGGAGAGAAGAGAAACAGGAAAAAGAGGAAAGAGAGGAGAAACAGGAGAAACAGGAAAAACAGGAGAGAGAGGAGAGAGAGGAAAAGAGGAGAAACAGGAGAGAGAGAAGAAAGAGGAGAAACAGGAGAGAGAGGAGAAACAGGAAAAACAGGAGAGAGAGGAGAAACAGGAGAGGGAGAAGAAAGAGGAGAAACAGGAAAGAGAGGAGAAACAGGAAAAACAAGAAAGAGCGGAGAAAGAGGAGAAACAGGAGAGAGAGGAGAAAGAGGAAAAACAAGAAAGAGAGGAGAAAGGAGAAACAGGUAAGAGAGGAGAAACAGGAAAAACAACAGAGGAGAAAGAGGAGAAACAGGGAAAUAAGGGGAGAGGGGGGAAAGAGGAAAAACAAGAAAGAGAGGAGAAAGAGGAGAAACGGGGAAAAAAAGGGGAGAGAGGAGAAACAGGAAAAACAAGAAAGAGAGGAGAAAAGAGGAGAAACAGGGAAAAAGGGAAGAGAGGAGAAACAGGAAACACAAGAAAGAGAGGAGAAACAGGAAAAACAGGAGAGAGAAGAGAAACAGGAAAAACAGGAGAGAGAGGAGAAACAGGAGAGAGAGAAGAAAGAGGAGAAACAGGAGAGAGAGGAGAAACAGGAGAGGGGGGAGAAACAGGAGAAACAGGAAAGAGAGGAAAAACAGGAAAAACAAGAAAGAGCAGAGAAAGAGGAGAAACAGGAAAAACAGGAGAGAGAGGAGAAACAGGAAAAACAAGAAAGAGAGGAGAAACAGGAAAAAAAGAAAGAGAGGAGAAAGGAGAAACAGGAAAGAGAGGAGAAACAGGAAAAACAAGAAAGAAGAAAGAGGAGAAACAGGGAAAAAAGGGGAGAGAAGAGAAAGAGGAAAAACAAGAAAGAGAGGAGAAAGAGGAGGAACAGGAAAAACAGGAGAGAGAGGAGAAACAGGAGAGAGAGGAGAAACAGGAAAAAUGGGAGAGAGAGGAGAAACAGGAAAAACAGGAAAGAGAGGAGAAACAGGAGAGAGAGAAGAAAGAGGAGAAAACAGGGGAGGGAGGAGAAACGGGAAAAACAGGAAAGAGAGGAGAAGAAAAGAGGAAAAACAGGAGAUAGAAGAGAAACAGGGAAAACAAGAAAGAGAGGAGAAACAGGAGAGAGAGAAGAAAGAGGAGAAACAGGGGAGGGAGGAGAAACGGGAGAAAACAGGAAAGAGAGGAGAAAGAGGAAAAACAGGAGAUAG
rnacentral:lncRNA from 1 species